ACACCAAACUGGUGCUGAUCGGCCUCACACGUCGGAGGUCACUGGUUCGGAUCCAGUACGGUCCA
rnacentral:tRNA from 1 species